GAUCGCAAGAUUAAAACUCAAAGGAAUUGACGGGGGCCCCGCACAAGCAGCGGAGCAUGCGGCUUAAUUCGACGCAACGCGAAGAACCUUACCAAGGGCUUGACAUAUACAGGAAUAUGGCAGAGAUGUCAUAGCGGUAAAACGUCUGUAUACAGGUGGUGCAUGGUUGUCGUCAGCUCGUGUCGGUGAGAUGUUGGGUUAAGUCCCGCAACGAGCGCAACCCUCGUUCUGUGUUGCCAGCAUUUAGUUGGGGACUCACAGGAGACUGCCGGGGUUAACUCGGAGGAAGGUGGGGAUGACGUCAAAUCAUCAUGCCCCUUAUGUCUUGGGCUGCACGCAUGCUACAAUGGCUGGUACAAAGGGCUGCAAUACUGCAAAGUGGAGCGAAUCCCAAAAAGCCAGUCUCAGUUCGGGUUGGGGUCUGCAACUCGACCCCAUGAAGUCGGAGUUGCUAGUAAUCGUAGAUCAGCAACGCUACGGUGAAUACGUUCCCGGGGCUUGUACACACCGCCCGUCACAUCACGAAAGUCGGUAACACCCAAAGUCAGUGGCCCAACCGCAAGGAGGGAGCUGCCAAAGGUGGGAUCGGUGAUUGGGAUG
rnacentral:rRNA from 1 species